rnacentral:rRNA from 1 species
CGCUGGCGGCGUGCCUAACACAUGCAAGUCGAACGGGGUGAUUCCUUCGGGGAUCACUUAGUGGCGAACGGGUGAGUAACGCGUGAGAAACCUGCCUCUCAGUGGGGGACAACAGUUGGAAACGACUGCUAAUACCGCAUAACAUAUUCGGACCGCAUGAUCUGAAUAUCAAAGCUUUAUGUGCUGAAAGAUGGCCUCGCGUCCGAUUAGCUAGUUGGUGAGGUAACGGCCCACCAAGGCGACGAUCGGUAGCCGACCUGAGAGGGUGAUCGGCCACAUUGGAACUGAGACACGGUCCAAACUCCUACGGGAGGCAGCAGUGGGGAAUAUUGGGCAAUGGGCGCAAGCCUGACCCAGCAACGCCGCGUGAGGGAAGAAGGCUUUCGGGUUGUAAACCUCUGUCCUCAAGGACGAAGGAAGUGACGGUACUUGAGGAGGAAGCCCCGGCUAACUACGUG